rnacentral:rRNA from 1 species
AUGAACGCUGGCGGCGUGCCUAAUCCCUGCAAGUCGCGCGAACAGACGAGGAGCUUGCUCCUCUGACGUUAGCGGCGGACGGGUGAGUAACACGUGGAUAACCUACCUAUAAGACUGGGAUAACUUCGGGAAACCGGAGCUAAUACCGGAUAAUAUAUUGAACCGCAUGGUUCAAUAGUGAAAGACGGUUUUGCUGUCACUUAUAGAUGGAUCCGCGCCGCAUUAGCUAGUUGGUAAGGUAACGGCUUACCAAGGCAACGAUGCGUAGCCGACCUGAGAGGGUGAUCGGCCACACUGGAACUGAGACACGGUCCAGACUCCUACGGGAGGCAGCAGUAGGGAAUCUUCCGCAAUGGGCGAAAGCCUGACCGAGCAACGCCGCGUGAGUGAUGAAGGUCUUCGGAUCGUAAAACUCUGUUAUUAGGGAAGAACAAAUGUGUAAGUAACUAUGCACGUCUUGACGGUACCUAAUCAGAAAGCCACGGCUAACUACGUG